rnacentral:rRNA from 1 species
AUGAACGCUAGCUACAGGCUUAACACAUGCAAGUCGAGGGGCAUCAGGAAGAAAGCUUGCUUUCUUUGCUGGCGACCGGCGCACGGGUGAGUAACACGUAUCCAACCUGCCCUUUACUCGGGGAUAGCCUUUCGAAAGAAAGAUUAAUACCCGAUGGCAUAAUGAUUCCGCAUGGUUUCAUUAUUAAAGGAUUCCGGUAAAGGAUGGGGAUGCGUUCCAUUAGGUUGUUGGUGAGGUAACGGCUCACCAAGCCUUCGAUGGAUAGGGGUUCUGAGAGGAAGGUCCCCCACAUUGGAACUGAGACACGGUCCAAACUCCUACGGGAGGCAGCAGUGAGGAAUAUUGGUCAAUGGGCGCUAGCCUGAACCAGCCAAGUAGCGUGAAGGAUGAAGGCUCUAUGGGUCGUAAACUUCUUUUAUAUAAGAAUAAAGUGCAGUAUGUAUACUGUUUUGUAUGUAUUAUAUGAAUAAGGAUCGGCUAACUCCGUGCCAGCAGCCGCGGUAAUACGGAGGAUCCGAGCGUUAUCCGGAUUUAUUGGGUUUAAAGGGAGCGUAGGUGGACUGGUAAGUCAGUUGUGAAAGUUUGCGGCUCAACCGUAAAAUUGCAGUUGAUACUGUCAGUCUUGAGUACAGUAGAGGUGGGCGGAAUUCGUGGUGUAGCGGUGAAAUGCUUAGAUAUCACGAAGAACUCCGAUUGCGAAGGCAGCUCACUGGACUGCAACUGACACUGAUGCUCGAAAGUGUGGGUAUCAAACAGGAUUAGAUACCCUGGUAGUCCACACCGUAAACGAUGGAUACUAGGUGUAGGAGAUAUUAAGUCUUCUGUGCCGUCGCAAACGCAAUAAGUAUCCCACCUGGGGAGUACGGCCGCAAGGUUGAAACUCAAAGGAAUUGACGGGGGCCCGCACAAGCGGAGGAACAUGUGGUUUAAUUCGAUGAUACGCGAGGAACCUUACCCGGGCUUAAAUUGCAGUGGAAUGAUGUGGAAACAUGUCAGUGAGCAAUCACCGCUGUGAAGGUGCUGCAUGGUUGUCGUCAGCUCGUGCCGUGAGGUGUCGGCUUAAGUGCCAUAACGAGCGCAACCCUUAUCUUUAGUUACUAACAGGUUAUGCUGAGGACUCUAGAGAGACUGCCGUCGUAAGAUGUGAGGAAGGUGGGGAUGACGUCAAAUCAGCACGGCCCUUACGUCCGGGGCUACACACGUGUUACAAUGGGGGGUACAGAAGGCAGCUAGCGGGUGACCGUAUGCUAAUCCCAAAAUCCUCUCUCAGUUCGGAUCGAAGUCUGCAACCCGACUUCGUGAAGCUGGAUUCGCUAGUAAUCGCGCAUCAGCCACGGCGCGGUGAAUACGUUCCCGGGCCUUGUACACACCGCCCGUCAAGCCAUGGGAGCCGGGGGUACCUGAAGUACGUAACCGCAAGGAUCGUCCUAGGGUAAAACUGGUGACUGGGGCU